rnacentral:piRNA from 1 species
UGAGAUUUUGGUGCACCCGUCAUGUGAGCA